GGGAAAGUUGCAAAGUACUUUGAAAAGAGAGUGCAAGAGAACGUGAAACCGGUGUAAUGGAAGCAUAUGGAGUUGACGUAUCUGGUGCGUAUUCAGUUGUUGUGCGCGGUGAUUGCCGACGUUUUGUUAUUCCGCUAAGGUUGACGCGUUGGUAUUGUUGCUGUGUGCGGCGAUGCAUUUACGUACGGAGUGCGCCGGGUCGUGCGCUGGUGUUCAUCGAAGCGCCGCUAGAGGACAUGGUUUCGGCCGUGAAACCUGGCGUUUGCGUGGAGGUGAGUUGCUGGUGCGCGGCUUUGUGGAGUAGCGGGUUCUUCGGAACGCGCGGCGUUGUGUUCGUCGGGCCGGUUUGUGUUGUACGCGUGCGUGCGGCGCUUAUGGGUCAGGCGGAUGCGGCGUCGUGCACCGUCUAUCUUCCCGGUGUAUAGUCAAUGACCCAUUUGACCCGUCUUGAAACACGGACCAAGGAGUUUAUGGUAUACGCGAGUCAUUGGGCUUUUCACGAAACCCAAAGGCGUAAUGAAAGUGAGACCGUAUUGGUUCUGAAUGUGAUCGGUGUGUUCCGUUUCGACGCGCGCCGAGCAACAUUGCCCCGUUUCGAGGACUUGUCCUGUUGCGGAGGUUGAGCGUAUGCUAUGAGACCCGAAAGAUGGUGAACUAUGCCUGAACAGGAUGAAGCCAGAGGAAACUCUGGUGGAAGUCCGAAGCGGUUCUGACGUGCAAAUCGAUCGUCUGAUUUUGGUAUA
rnacentral:rRNA from 1 species